rnacentral:rRNA from 1 species
GAUGAACGCUGGCGGCGUGCUUAACACAUGCAAGUCGAACGGGAAUUCUUUUAUUGAAACUUCGGUCGAUUUAAUUUAAUUCUAGUGGCGGACGGGUGAGUAACGCGUGGGUAACCUGCCUUAUACAGGGGGAUAACAGUCAGAAAUGGCUGCUAAUACCGCAUAAGCGCACAGAGCUGCAUGGCUCAGUGUGUAAAACUCCGGUGGUAUAAGAUGGACCCGCGUUGGAUUAGCUUGUUGGCAGGGUAACGGCCUACCAAGGCGACGAUCCAUAGCCGGCCUGAGAGGGUGAACGGCCACAUUGGGACUGAGACACGGCCCAGACUCCUACGGGAGGCAGCAGUGGGGAAUAUUGCACAAUGGGGGAAACCCUGAUGCAGCGACGCCGCGUGAAGGAAGAAGUAUCUCGGUAUGUAAACUUCUAUCAGCAGGGAAGAUAGUGACGGUACCUGACUAAGAAGCCCCGGCUAACUACGUG